GACGAACGCUGGCGGCGUGCUUAACACAUGCAAGUCGAACGGAAAGGCCCUGCUUUUGUGGCGUGCUCGAUUGGCGAAGGGGUGAGUAACACGUGAGUAACCUGCCCUUGACUUUGGGAUAACUUCAGGAGACUGGGGCUCAUACCGGAUAGGAGCUCCUGCUGCAUGGUGGGGGUUGGAAAGUUUCGGCGGUUGGGGAUGGACUCGCGGGUUAUCGGCUUGUUGGGUGAGUAGUGGCUUACCAGGGGUUCGACGGGUAGGCGGCCUUAGAGGGUGACCGGCCACAUGGCUACUGCGAGACGCCCCAGUCGCCAACGGGAGGCAGCAGUGGGGAACAUGGCACAAUGGGCGGAAGCCUGUUGCAGCAGCCUCGCGUGCGUGAUGCUGGGCUUCGGGUGGUAAACCGCUGUCUCCUGUGACGAAGCGGUAUUGACGGUAAUGGGUAAAGAAGCACCGGCUAACUACGUG
rnacentral:rRNA from 1 species